rnacentral:rRNA from 1 species
GACGAACGCUGGCGGCGUGCUUAACACAUGCAAGUCGAACGGAAAGGCCCUGCUUUUGCGGGGUGCUCGAGUGGCGAACGGGUGAGUAACACGUGAGUAACCUGCCCUUGACGUUGGGACAACUUCAGGAAACUGGGGCUAAUACAGGAUAGGAGCUCCUGCUGCAUGGUGGGGGUCGGAAAGUUUCGGCGGUUGGGGAUGGACGCCCGGUUUAUCAGCUCGUUGGUGGGGUAGUGGCUUACCAAGGCUUUGACGGCUAGCCGGCCUGAGAGGGUGACCGGCCACCUGGGUACUGAGAUAGGGCCCAGACUCCUACGGGAGGCAGCAGUGGGGAAUCUUGAACAAUCAGCGGGCGCCUGAUGCAGCAACGCCGCGUGCGGGAUGACGGCCUUCGGGUUGUAAACCGCUUUCGGCUGUGACGAAGCGUGAGUGACGGUAAUGAGUGAAGAAGCACCGGCUAACUACGUG